rnacentral:rRNA from 1 species
GAAACCGUUCAGGGGUAAACCUGAGAAACCCAAAAGAUCGAAUGGGGAGAUUCAUCGUCGACGAAGCCGGCUCCCGUUGGUGUGCGAUACUCCGAUUGGGCCUUCGUGGUUCCAAGGCGAGGGUACACCACCUUCGGCGAACGUUCCGGCGACGUAGUCGUGCAAUUCUCCCUUAGUAGAACGUCGCGACCCGUUGUGUGUCGGUCUACGGCUCGAGUUAUUGCCUGUCGCGGCGCCUUUGUGUGCUCGCGCAGAGGCUCGGUCGCCCGGCCGGCUGCACGACGGUACUCUGACGGUAUCGGGCCGCAACCAAUCCAUUUUCGAAUGUAUGUGCGUCAGGCCCGUCGCAAGCUCGGACAGUUUUACCCGGAGCGUGUGGACCUGGUGCCCUCCCCGGGGCUGGCCAGCUGUUGGCAGACGGUGUCCUUGGACUUGGCCAAGCUUUGAAUUACCGGUCAGCGACGCUACUGCUUUGGGUACUCUCAGGACCCGUCUUGAAACACGGACCAAGGAGUCUAACAUGUGCGCGAGUCAUUGGGAUAUGUAAACCUAAAGGCGCAAUGAAAGUGAAGGUCGGCCUUUGCGUCGACCAAGGGAGGAUGGGCUGCGUAUGUUCGGCCUCGCACUCCCGGGGCGUCUCGUUCUCAAUGCGAGAAGAGGCGCACCCAGAGCGUACACGUUGGGACCCGAAAGAUGGUGAACUAUGCCUGGUCAGGACGAAGUCAGGGGAAACCCUGAUGGAGGUCCGUAGCGAUUCUGACGUGCAAAUCGAUCGUCGGAACUGGGUAUAGGGGCGAAAGACUAAUCGAACCAUCUAGUAGCUGGUUCCCUCCGAAGUUUCCCUCAGGAUAGCUGGCACUCGCUCGUUCCUCCGUGAACGUGUGCGAGUUUCAUCUGGUAAAGCGAAUGAUUAGAGGCCUUGGGGCCGAAACGACCUCAACCUAUUCUCAAACUUUAAAUGGGUGAGAUCUCUGGCUUGCUUGGAUCAUGAAGCCACGAGAUUUUGAAUCAGAGUGCCAAGUGGGCCAAUUUUGGUAAGCAGAACUGGCGCUGUGGGAUGAACCAAACGCAGAGUUAAGGCGCCUAAGUCGACGCUUAUGGGAUACCAUGAAAGGCGUUGGUUGCUUAAGACAGCAGGACGGUGGCCAUGGAAGUCGGAA